ensembl:processed_transcript
AGAUCUUCCGAGCGACCCGCCCUAUGUUAGAAAUAGGAAAAUCCAAUAAUAACAACAGAAGAAGAAAAAAAUGAAAAAAAUGAGCCAACUUUGAUCACGCAUGCUCCCUUGUCAUCCACCUUAAACACAACAUUUGUCCUAAGUUGGAAAGUCGUGGAAAAGCCAGGAAGUAACGUUACAGUAAGCCAAUCAUUUGAGGGAAGCAUCUCGUGUUUAAAAUGCCUGUGAUAUCCAAGAGAAGGCAUCAACAGAGAGCUGUGUAAGAAGGCAAAUGUGAAUGUGCAAGCAGACAGUGGCACACGGGACACAGAGCAAGACUGGAGCGCUCAAUAUUCUUUGAAGGUCAGUGUCACAAUGUACCGUAAUACAUCUGCAGUUUUAAUGAGUAUUUUAGCAGCCAGAUACCAAAUAAACAGUCAUAUCAGUCAGCAUAAAGCUUGUUUUCUGUUCCCCUUUCUGUCACAUUUUCAAGUGUACUCUUAAGGAUUUUUGUAAAGUUACAAAAGUUGUAAAAUACAGUUUUCAGACCCCCUAGUUUUU